AGAGUUUGAUCCUGGCUCAGGAUGAACGCUAGCGACAGGCUUAACACAUGCAAGUCGAGGGGCAUCAUGAGGUAGCAAUACCUUGAUGGCGACCGGCGCACGGGUGAGUAACGCGUAUGCAACCUGCCCGAUACCGGGGUAUAGCCCAUGGAAACGUGGAUUAACACCCCAUAGUACUUUUAUCCUGCAUGGGAUGUGAGUUAAAUGUUCAAGGUAUCGGAUGGGCAUGCGUCCUAUUAGUUAGUUGGCGGGGUAACAGCCCACCAAGACGAUGAUAGGUAGGGGUUCUGAGAGGAAGGUCCCCCACAUUGGAACUGAGACACGGUCCAAACUCCUACGGGAGGCAGCAGUGAGGAAUAUUGGUCAAUGGACGAGAGUCUGAACCAGCCAAGUCGCGUGAAGGAAGACGGAUCUAUGGUUUGUAAACUUCUUUAGUGCGGGAACAAAGCGGCGUCGUGACGCCGGAUGAGUGUACCGCAAGAAUAAGCAUCGGCUAACUCCGUGCCAGCAGCCGCGGUAAUACGGAGGAUGCGAGCGUUAUCCGGAUUUAUUGGGUUUAAAGGGUGCGUAGGCGGUUUAUUAAGUUAGUGGUUAAAUAUUUGAGCUAAACUCAAUUGUGCCAUUAAUACUGGUAAACUGGAGUACAGACGAGGUAGGCGGAAUAAGUUAAGUAGCGGUGAAAUGCAUAGAUAUAACUUAGAACUCCGAUAGCGAAGGCAGCUUACCAGACUGUAACUGACGCUGAUGCACGAGAGCGUGGGUAGCGAACAGGAUUAGAUACCCUGGUAGUCCACGCCGUAAACGAUGCUCACUGGAUCUUGGCGAUACACUGCCAGGGUUCAAGCGAAAGUAUUAAGUGAGCCACCUGGGGAGUACGUCGGCAACGAUGAAACUCAAAGGAAUUGACGGGGGCCCG
rnacentral:rRNA from 1 species